ensembl:lncRNA
AAAUAAAUAAACCAGCUUCUGGUCUUCCUUAGCUGCUCACGAACAGAGGGAGCUGAAAUUCGUUAUAGGGCGUUUCCUUUUCCAACACACACUGACAAGGGUAGACUAAUCACAGCAGAAUGUGACAUCUGACCAAUCAGAGCAGAGUAUGCCCUCUGAACGGAGGGGUUUAGAAUGACUCCUUUAGAACGGAUCAUUGAACGAGUCGUUUGUGACACUCGGGGGGGGGGGAAUGCUGCAAUUUAAAUUAUGAGCACGUUAAAGUGUUUUUUGACCUUGGAUACAUGUAAAUCUAUUGUACGAGACCUUUUUAAAACAAAAUUAGGCCCGUUUGAAAACCAUAAUAGGUGCGCUUUAACUAAUUAGUCCCAAUAUGUUGAAUUCAGGAUCAUCGAAUCAGUUCACUCACCUUCGGUUCAUAGAGCCUUAAUUAGUAUUUGAGACACAGCCCCCCAUCACCCGCUGUAUUUACCUGAAGUUCUCUUUCCCAACAACAGAUGGCACCAAAGUGUCAGUUAAGACGCCGUUCGUGAACAAUUUUAGAAAUAAACAAUAGACGCGUUUGCCGUAUGAAAUCUGUUUAUUUUUAUUCAUUUAUUUUUUAUGUGUAUUUGAGUUUGUUCAAUUACACACCGUGUACAUUUAUUAUUUAUUUAAAAAAUAAGUACGUUAAAAUUACAUUUAGACAUGCGUUACUUUGGUUAAAAAAGUGAGCAAAAAUUCGAGGUAAAAAAAAAAAAAAACGAAUAACGGAAGUAAGGUUUAUCUUGAUUUGUUAGCAACCACUGCGAGGGCUGGUUAAAAAAAAUUCUUCAGUUUUACCGACUCCACCCUUGCAACAGGCUUUUUUUUGCCGUUCAAGUAGGAAUGGGAUUCCCCUAAAAUGGAGGAAGUGAAGUGCACGCUGUAGUGCACUACUCCAUGCACACUCCUCCUCCCUCGUUACCGCCUCGCCUCGCCUCGCCUGCUGCCUCCCAGCCGCCAGCAAGUUCGCCUCACGCUUCCUCCUUCGCUUUCGUCCUUUCUUUCUCCUCAACAACAACAAAAAAAUCCCACAUCGCUCCUGCUGAAAGCUGCCGAGCUGAGCGACAGCUGGGAGGAGAAGUAAACUUGGUGGCUGAAGAAAAAGCUCCGCAGACAACACCAGUGAGUGGGACGCGGCUGGUUAUAGAAAUGAUUGUGGGCUUAUUUACGUGUUUGAGUUUGCUUUAAACCGAGGGGCCGAGCUACAACAUUCAGCACUUUCCCCUCCUCCUCCUCCUCCUCACUACCCCUCCGUGAGCAAAAACAAGAGGUCUGCACAGAUGAAAUGCUUCAAGUUCUCGUGUGUUUAUCUCUGCAGCUGUUGGUCUUCUCAGUAGUCAGGUUGUGAAUGUGGAGCAGUGAGGCAGAAAGAGGAACUAAAGGAGACCGCGGAGGGCUACAAUGAGAAGAAAAGACACAGGAGAGACAGGAGGGACAAGAAUGCGACUCAAGUAGAAGACAGCGGACGCACAUCACCUCAAAGUGCCUGGAUGUGCUGGAUGCUGCAGCAGCCUCGUGCCGGCGCAUGCUUUUCCCCACACUGCUGUUCCCUGCAGCCCUGACUGUGUAAGUGUAUCUGUGAUUGCGCUUGGCCUUGACUCGGGCUGUGUUUCACUCUGCGAAGCAAACAGUCCUUCGGCCCGUUUGCUGUUCCUCGAUCCCAAGCCUCCCC